rnacentral:lncRNA from 1 species
GUUUUUCUUCUUUAUUUGCAGUACUUCAGGAACACGAAAUAGUCUUUAAAGAGAUUGUUGGAAGAAGAACAACCCCAGGCGAGCGGUGUUGGGACGUGGGGAGAUGCUGCAAUUCUGUGCUUCCAGCUUGUGCAGUUUAGAUUCAGAUACUGGUGUAUUCACAGAUUUGAGUCUACAGAAAGUGCUUUACAGGCUGGGACUUUACCACCAAGGAGCAAGUUGAAGUUGUAGAAGAGUUUUUUACCAGGAAUUUUUGUAUAGGAAGCUCAGUAAUAAAGUCUAGCCUUGUUACCUGUCUGAUCUAUUG